rnacentral:lncRNA from 1 species
GCCAGAUCGACGUCGACGCGCCCUUCUCCGUCGCUUUCAAGGCCGUGGGCAUGAACUGGGCCACGUACAUCGUCGCCUUCGGAGCUCUCAAGGGCAUGACCACCGUGCUCCUCGUCUCCGCCGUCGGCCAGGCCCGGUACCUGACGCACAUCGCCCGCACCCACAUGGUGCCGCCGUGGCUCGCCCACGUGAACAGCAGGACCGGCACGCCCAUCAACGCCACCGUCGUCAUGCUCGUCGCCACCGCCAUCAUCGCCUUCUUCACCGACCUCGGCAUCCUGGCCAACCUCCUCUCCAUCUCCACGCUCUUCAUCUUCAUGCUGGUCGCCGUCGCCCUCAUCGUCCGCCGCUACUACGUGAGCGGCGAGACCUCGGAGGCCAACCGAUCCAAGCUGGUCGUUUUCCUCCUGCUCAUCCUGGGGUCCUCGAUCGCGACGGCGUCCUACUGGGCCGCGAGCGAGAAGGGGUGGGUGGGCUACCUUGUGACCGUCCCGGUGUGGUUCCUGUCGACGGCCGGCUUGUGGUGGUUCGUGC